UUUCUGCGUGAGGUGAGAGGGCAGCAAACAAAAAUGAUCAAAGGUCUGCUCUCAGGGACAUAUUCUGGACUAACCUGCAGAACAGCAAUAGAGUGGUUGCCCUACUGACAGAUCUGCAGAAGCCAGCAAGUUUUCAUGGCCUAGAGGAGCUAGCUGGCUGCAGAUUCCAGAAAGAAAAGUAUAUGGUGCUACAGCAUGCACAAAUGAACAACACCCUCAGAAAGAAAACAAAGACUGCAGGCUCCUCGUCCUGCUCUUAUGAACCAAGCCUGAUUGCAUAGAAGAUUAAAGAGCGUCCCCUCCUGGCUCAAGGCACAUCUCGGAUUGCAGUUUGUGGAGAUUCCUUCCACUCCGCCCCCAACCUCUACUACGCAGCAAAUGGCAGAGAAAGGUGUUUUCGAGCAUGUGCAAUGAACUGCAUCAGCGACAGCUUUGCACUGAUUCAGGGUACAACAUCACCGUUUACAGCAGUUGCCGGUGUGGGAUCUCAUAGGGUGUGCAUCUAAUUUUGCAGCUGCAACCCUCUGCGUGGCAAGGAGUGCUGUACAGAGCUGCCAGCGAAUCAAUAGAACAACAACAAAUGACCAGAUUCACACACCAGCAGCCGGCUCCUGAGACUGAGAAUUUCAGAGCCUAGGAGAAUUAUGCACUUUCCAUUUUGACUAAUCGCUUCUGGCUGCAGUGGAGUCUUUUUAAAGAAGCUGAAUCUGCAUUAAGGACCAAGAGAGACAUUCUGGGGAGUGCUCAUGUCUACAUAACAAAUGAGCAAAGUUCCACUAUUCCUUCUAGAUUUCACUUCAGCCUCAUGUGCCUUUGUUUGCUGCGGGAAAAUGAGCAUCGCUGCAGACAUUGCCUCUUCCACCAGUGCAUUGCUAUGAUGGAAGGAACAGCAACGUUCCACUUUUUAUGAAACUGUUAAAGGUCACGUCCUGUACCUUUCUUAAAAUAACUUUUCAUGGGUUUUAUAAACAAGGAUCAUAAAAAGGAUAAGUGAUACAAAUAAAUAGAUCAAGUCUUCUCAUGUCAUUUGUAUGUCACAGAAAUAGCACAAUAAAUUUGCAGUAAUAUCUACGACAUAUGGUUCAUGCAAAAUAAAAAAAAAUUCCUUCCAGUAGCACCUUAGAGACCAACUAAGUUUGUCAUUGGUAUGAGCAUUCGUGUGCAUGCACACUUCUUCAGAUACCUAUGACAAACUUAGUUGGUCUCUAAGGUGAUACUGGAAGGAAUUUUUUUUAUUUUGUUUCAACUACGUCAGACCAACACGGCUACCUACCUGUAACUAGAAAUAUGGUUCAUUAUUAGUGGUCAAUGUGUGAAUUAUUGGUUUGAAC